rnacentral:rRNA from 1 species
AGCGAACGCUGGCGGCAGGCCUAACACAUGCAAGUCGAACGAACCUUUCGGGGUUAGUGGCGGACGGGUGAGGAACACGUGGGAACGUGCCUUUAGGUUCGGAAUAACUCAGGGAAACUUGUGCUAAUACCGAAUGUGCCCUUCGGGGGAAAGAUUAAUCGCCUUUAGAGCGGCCCGCGUCUGAUUAGCUAGUUGGUUGAGGUAAUGGCUCACCAAGGCGACGAUCAGUAGCUGGUCUGAGAGGAUGAUCAGCCACAUUGGGAGUGAGACACGGCCCAAACUCCUACGGGAGGCAGCAGUGGGGAAUCUUGCGCAAUGGGCGAAAGCCUGACGCAGCCAUGCCGCGUGAAUGAUGAAGGUCUUAGGAUUGUAAAAUUCUUUCACCGGGGACGAUAAUGACGGUACCCGGAGAAGAAGCCCCGGCUAACUUCGUG